UACGGGGGGGCAAGCGUUGUUCGGGAAUUACUGGGCGUAAAGGCUCGUAGGUGGCCAACUAAGUCGGACGUGAAAUCCCCUCAGCUUAACUGGGGAACUGCGUCCGAUACUGGAUGGCUUGAGUUUGGGAGAGGGAGCGGGAAUUCCGAGGUCGUAGCGGUGAAUGACGUAGAGUAUCGAGAGGAACACCGCUGCGGCGAAGGCGGGUUGCUGGGCGUGACACUGACGCUGAGGCGCGAAAGCCAGGGGAGCGAACGGG
rnacentral:rRNA from 1 species